UACGUAGGGGGGCAAGCGUUGUCCGGAUUUAUUGGGCGUAAAGAGCGUGUAGGCGGCUAGAUAGGUCCGUUGUGAAAACUCGAGGCUCAACCUCGAGACGUCGAUGGAAACCAUCUGGCUAGAGUCCGGAAGAGGAGAGUGGAAUUCCUGGUGUAGCGGUGAAAUGCGCAGAUAUCAGGAAGAACACCCGUGGCGAAGGCGGCUCUCUGGUACGUGACUGACGCUGAGACGCGAAAAGCGUGGGGGAGCAAACAGG
rnacentral:rRNA from 1 species